rnacentral:rRNA from 1 species
CAGCAGCCACGGGAAUACGUAGGGUGCGAGCGUUAAUCGGAAUUACUGGGCGUAAAGCGUGCGCAGGCGGUUGUGUAAGACAGGUGUGAAAUCCCCGGGCUUAACCUGGGAACUGCGCUUGUGACUGCACAGCUAGAGUUUGGCAGAGGGGGGUGGAAUUCCACGUGUAGCAGUGAAAUGCGUAGAGAUGUGGAGGAACACCGAUGGCGAAGGCAGCCCCCUGGGCCAAUACUGACGCUCAUGCACGAAAGCGUGGGGAGCAAACAGGAUUAGAUACCCGCGUAGUCCCUGUCUCUUAUAC